GUAGUACUCCCUUCGUCCUGAAUUAGUUAACUCGAAUUUGUCUAAAUAUGGAUGUAUCUAGACAUGUUUUAGUGUUAGAUACAUCUAUGUCUAGACAAAUCUAAUUCAACUAAUUUGAAACGGUGGUUGUACUUA
rfam:Triticum aestivum genome assembly, contig: Triticum_aestivum_CS42_TGACv1_scaffold_395907_5AS